AAACUAACAAGGAUUCCCCUAGUAACUGCGAGUGAAGCGGGAAAAGCUCAAAUUUAAAAUCUGGUGGUCUUUGGCCAUCCGAGUUGUAAUCUAGAGAAGUGUUACCCGCGUCGGACCGUGUAUAAGUCUCCUGGAAUGGAGCGUCAUAGAGGGUGAGAAUCCCGUCUUUGACACGGACUACCGAGGCUUUGUGGUGCGCUCUCAACGAGUCGAGUUGUUUGGGAAUGCAGCUCAAAAUGGGUGGUAAAUUCCAUCUAAAGCUAAAUAUUGGCGAGAGACCGAUAGCGAACAAGUACCGUGAGGGAAAGAUGAAAAGAACUUUGGAAAGAGAGUUAAACAGUACGUGAAAUUGCUGAAAGGGAAACGCUUGAAGUCAGUCGCGUUGGCCGGAAAUCAGCCUUGCUUUUGCUGGGUGUACUUUCUGGUUGACGGGCCAGCAUCAGUUUUGACCGGUGGAAAAAGUCUGAGGGAAUGUGGCAUCUUCGGAUGUGUUAUAGCCCUUUUUCGUAUACAUCGGUUGGGACUGAGGAACUCAGCACGCCGAAAGGCCGGGUCUUUGACCACGUUCGUGCUUAGGAUGCUGGCAUAAUGGCUUUAAUCGACCCGUCUUGAAACACGGACCAAGGAGUCUAACAUGCCUGCGAGUGUUUGGGUGGAAAACCCGGACGCGUAAUGAAAGUGAAAGUUGAGAUCCCUGUCAUGGGGAGCAUCGACGCCCGGACCAGAAGUUUUCUGACGGCCCUGCGGUAGAGCAUGUAUGUUGGGACCCGAAAGAUGGUGAACUAUGCCUGAAUAGGGUGAAGCCAGAGGAAACUCUGGUGGAGGCUCGUAGCGAUUCUGACGUGCAAAUCGAUCGUCAAAUUUGGGUAUAGGGGCGAAAGACUAAUCGAACCAUCU
rnacentral:rRNA from 1 species